rnacentral:rRNA from 1 species
GGAUUCCCCUAGUAACUGCGAGUGAAGCGGGAAAAGCUCAAAUUUAAAAUCUGGCGGUCUUUGGCCGUCCGAGUUGUAGUCUGGAGAAGUGCUUUCCGCGCUGGACCGUGUACAAGUCUCUUGGAACAGAGCGUCAUAGAGGGUGAGAAUCCCGUCUUUGACACGGACUACCAGUGCUUUGUGAUGCGCUCUCAAAGAGUCGAGUUGUUUGGGAAUGCAGCUCAAAAUGGGUGGUGAAUUCCAUCUAAAGCUAAAUAUUGGCGAGAGACCGAUAGCGAACAAGUACCGUGAGGGAAAGAUGAAAAGCACUUUGGAAAGAGAGUUAAACAGUACGUGAAAUUGCUGAAAGGGAAACGCUUGAAGUCAGUCGCGUUGUCCAGAACUCAGCCUUGCUUCGGCUUGGUGCAUUUUCUGGGCGACGGGCCAGCAUCGAUUUUGACCGUCGGAAAAGGGUUGAAGGAAUGUGGCACCUUCGGGUGUGUUAUAGCCUUCAGCCGCAUACGACGGUUGGGAUCGAGGAACGCAGCGCGCCUUAUGGCUGGGGUUCGCCCACAUUCGCGCUUAGGAUGCUGGCAUAAUGGCUUUAAACGACCCGUCUUGAAACACGGACCAAGGAGUCUAACAUGCCUGCGAGUGUUUGGGUGGAAAACCCGAGCGCGUAAUGAAAGUGAAAG